UCAUAUCCUUUGCCCACUUUUUGAUGCAGUUGUCUGCUUUUUUCUUGUAAAUUUGUUUAAGUUCCUUGUAGAUUCUGUUUAUUAACCCUUUGACAGAUGGAUAGAUUGCAAAAAUUUCCUAUCAUUUCUGUAGGUUGCCCAUUCAUUCUGAUGAUAGAUUCUUUCGCUGUGCAGAAACUCUUUAGUUUAAUUAGAUCCCAUUUGUCAAUUUUGGCUUUAAUAUAUUGUGCC